GCAACAGCAUCGUGCAGUUCCCUCCUCCUUCCUUCCCGUGAAGACACAGACCUAUUCGUGCUAGCAGAAAACCGCAGUCAGUUUCAGAGUUAGAAGUGGGGCUGUCUCCACAGACUCCAGCCUCUUAGCACGCUUGGCCAGAAACAGGACCCAGUCUUGUCCUUCAGCAGCAGACCUGAGCAUGUGAGAUACCACAGAACUUCACCUCAGAGACAACCCAUCUGUACUCCCAAGGAGGAGGCAAUGAUAACAGCAGAGCUGGAUAAUAUCACCUCUCUGAUGCCAAGGAAGCCUUUGGUAUGUUUGCUAAGUGCUGUCUUGGGGAAGCUGUAGUCCGUGCUCAGGCAGGCCGACACAUGGGGGAGGGUUUCUUCUGCCUGGAGCUCCGGUGGGAAGGAUUGGGAAUCUCCAGAUUGGUCGAGGUGUGAGCAGACUGGGCCCCUGCAGAUAAAUUCCAGGGGUGAGAUGGGGUGCAGCUGCUAAGGAGCAGGAAGGGGGCAACCGCCCAGCUUGGCAGGACAGUCCUUCUA